rnacentral:snRNA from 1 species
AUGUAUUGUCUGAGGUGUCAAAAAAAAAUCUGUUCUUAUCAGUUUAAUAUCUGAUACGUCCCCUAUCCGGGGACCAUCUAUUAUAUUGGUUUUUGGAACAGGGAGAUGGAAUAGGGGCUUGCUCCGUCCACUCCACGCAUCGACUGGGUAUUGCAGUGUUUCCAGGAACGGUGCACCCCCC